rnacentral:rRNA from 1 species
AGUGAACGCUGGCGGUAGGCCUAACACAUGCCAGUCGAACGGCAGCACAGUAAGAGCUUGCUCUUACGGGUGGCGAGUGGCGGACGGGUGAGGAAUACAUCGGAAUCUACUUUUUCGUGGGGAAUAACGUAGGGAAACUUACGCUAAUACCGCAUACGACCUACGGGUGAAAGCAGGGGAUCUUCGGACCUUGCGCGAUUGAAUGAGCCGAUGUCGGAUUAGCUAGUUGGCGGGGUAAAGGCCCACCAAGGCGACGAUCCGUAGCUGGUCUGAGAGGAUGAUCAGCCACACUGGAACUGAGACACGGUCCAGACUCCUACGGGAGGCAGCAGUGGGGAAUAUUGGACAAUGGGCGCAAGCCUGAUCCAGCCAUACCGCGUGGGUGAAGAAGGCCUUCGGGUUGUAAAGCCCUUUUGUUGGGAAAGAAAAGCAGCAGGUUAAUACCCCGCUGUUCUGACGGUACCCAAAGAAUAAGCACCGGCUAACUUCGUG